UCUAAGUACCCCGAGGAAAAGAAAUCAACCGAGAUUCCCCCAGUAGCGGCGAGCGAACGGGGAGCAGCCCAGAGUCUGAAUCAGCUUGUGUGUUAGUGGAACGGUCUGGAAAGUCCGACGGUACAGGGUGAUAGUCCCGUACACCAAAAUGCACAGGCUGUGAACUCGAAGAGUAGGGCGGGACACGUGGUAUCCUGUCUGAAUAUGGGGGGACCAUCCUCCAAGGCUAAAUACUCCUGACUGACCGAUAGUGAACCAGUACCGUGAGGGAAAGGCGAAAAGAACCCCGGCGAGGGGAGUGAAAAAGAACCUGAAACCGUGUACGUACAAGCAGUGGGAGCACCUUCGGGUGUGACUGCGUACCUUUUGUAUAAUGGGUCAGCGACUUAUAUUCUGUAGCAAGGUUAACCGUAUAGGGGAGCCGCAGGGAAACCGAGUCUUAACUGGGCGUUAAGUUGCAGGGUAUAGACCCGAAACCCGGUGAUCUAGCCAUGGGCAGGUUGAAGGUUGGGUAACACUAACUGGAGGACCGAACCGACUAAUGUUGAAAAAUUAGCGGAUGACUUGUGGCUGGGGGUGAAAGGCCAAUCAAACCGGGAGAUAGCUGGUUCUCCCCGAAAGCUAUUUAGGUAGCGCCUCGUGAACUCAUCUUCGGGGGUAGAGCACUGUUUCGGCUAGGGGGUCAUCCCGACUUACCAACCCGAUGCAAACUACGAAUACCGAAGAAUGUUAUCACGGGAGACACACGGCGGGUGCUAACGUCCGUCGUGAAGAGGGAAACAACCCAGACCGCCAGCUAAGGUCCCAAAGUCAUGGUUAAGUGGGAAACGAUGUGGGAAGGCACAGACAGCCAGGAUGUUGGCUUAGAAGCAGCCAUCAUUUAAAGAAAGCGUAAUAGCUCACUGGUCGAGUCGGCCUGCGCGGAAGAUGUAACGGGGCUAAACCAUGCACCGAAGCUGCGGCAGCGACACUAUGUGUUGUUGGGUAGGGGAGCG
rnacentral:rRNA from 1 species